rnacentral:tRNA from 1 species
GAGGGUAUAGCUCAGUGGUAGAGUGUGUGCUUAGCAUGCACAAGGUCCUGGGUUCAAUCCCCAGUAUCCCUA